UGGGGAAUAUUGCACAAUGGGCGCAAGCCUGAUGCAGCCAUGCCGCGUGUGUGAAGAAGGCCUUCGGGUUGUAAAGCACUUUCAGCGGGGAGGAAGGCGAUAAGGUUAAUAACCUUGUCGAUUGACGUUACCCGCAGAAGAAGCACCGGCUAACUCCGUGCCAGCAGCCGCGGUAAUACGGAGGGUGCAAGCGUUAAUCGGAAUUACUGGGCGUAAAGCGCACGCAGGCGGUCUGUCAAGUCGGAUGUGAAAUCCCCGGGCUUAACCUGGGAACUGCAUUCGAAACUGGCAGGCUAGAGUCUUGUAGAGGGGGGUAGAAUUCCAGGUGUAGCGAUGAAAUGCGUAGAGAUCUGGAGGAAUACCGGUGGCGAAGGCGGCCCCCUGGACGAAGACUGACGCUCAGGUGCGAAAGCGUGGGGAGCAAACAGG
rnacentral:rRNA from 1 species